AUUGAACGCUGGCGGCAGGCCUAACACAUGCAAGUCGAACGAGUGGCGGACGGGUGAGUAAUGUCUGGGAAACUGCCUGAUGGAGGGGGAUCACUACUGGAAACGGUAGCUAAUACCGCAUAACAUCAGAUGUGCCCAGAUGGGAUUAGCUAGUUGGUGGGGUAACGGAUCACUAAGGCGACGCUCCCUAGCUGGUCUGAGAUGAUGCCCAGCCACGCUGGAACUGAGACACUGUCCAGAUUCCUACGUGAGGCAGCAGUGGGGAAUAUUGCACAAUGGGCGCAAGCCUGAUGCAGCCAUGCCUCGUGUAUGAAGAAGGCCUUCGGGUUGUAACGUACUUUCAGCGGGGAGGCGUUACCCACAGAAGAAGCACCGGCUAACUCCGUGCCAGCCGCCGCGGUAAUAC
rnacentral:rRNA from 1 species